UUUAAGGUAGCACGGUAGUAUUUGCAUUCCAGAAUUUAGGUUGCUCUUUUGUGUACCCUACUUAGGUCAAUGUAUCUGAACAGUGUGAUUGGACUAAAAAUACAGUAUCGACUGAACAUUCUUUCCCAAACUGAGGGAUGAAUCAGGUGUAGAAAAAUAUGAAAUAAUUUUACAUACAGGUGAAAAUGAAUUUUUGAGAAGGUUUUUAAAUUUUGUAUUCACUGCAUGAUAAAAGAC
rnacentral:lncRNA from 1 species